AUGUAUAAGAUGAGAAAAUUAUGGUGUACUUCAUAUCUUGAGGGGCGUUGUUUCCUAGGAUUGAGCAACAAUCAGCGGAGUGAGAGUUUAAACUCGAUGAUACAUAUGCAUCUUGAGGCUAAGAUGAUGUUGUUUCAAAUGCUAGAGCACUAUGAGCGUUGCCUUGCGUCGCGCCGCUUGAACGAGGCUCUCCAAGACAUCGAGGCCUUGCAGUUCGUUCCAUUCACAGAUGAAAAUGCUUCAAGUCUUGAGAAACACGCCACAAAAGUUUUCACUGCUGAUGUGUUUAAGUUGGUAUUAUGGAGCAUAAAUGUUGUAAGCAAAUGUCAGAUCAGACAGGUACUUGAUGCAGCAGAACUUACCACAUACAUUGUGUCUAAGAAGGAAAGAAUGGAUAAAAAGAUCAAAGUGCGCACAGAGUCGAAGGAAGGUCUGCUUCAUAGGAUCAAUUCUUCUUGCCGUAAAUUGGAAUGCGCAGGCACACCAUGUUCCCACAUAUUUUACAUAUUGAGAAUUUUACAAGAAGAAACACUGCCUGGGUGUUAUGUUCCCACCAAGUGGACAAUGAGUGCAAAAUGUGCAUUCGCACCGACCAAAAAGAGCAAGAUGUAUGAAUACUUUGCAACCCUGCAAAGGUACCGUAAGUUAAGGAAUUUUAGUCACGCAUCAUGUUUCAAGGCAUGCCACUCUGAUGAGGUGUUUCAUCAUCAAAAGAGGGUUUUGGAAGGACAAGAUGUUUGCAAGGGACCAACUAUUCAACAAGCUGAUAGCAAGGGAUCAACUAAUGCUCAGAGUAACAGCAUUUGGUUUGGCCCGUUGAUGCCACAAUCGGCUAACCUUGAUGGUGAAGAUUUCGAUAAGGUUCUAGAUCCCGAGCAUGUUCCAGAUCGAUAA
rnacentral:rRNA from 1 species